UACGUAGGGUGCAAGCGUUAAUCGGAAUUACUGGGCGUAAAGCGUGCGCAGGCGGUUUUGUAAGUCUGUCGUGAAAUCCCCGGGCUCAACCUGGGAAUUGCGAUGGAGACUGCAAGGCUAGAGUGUGUCAGAGGGGGGUAGAAUUCCACGUGUAGCAGUGAAAUGCGUAGAGAUGUGGAGGAAUACCGAUGGCGAAGGCAGCCCCCUGGGAUAACACUGACGCUCAUGCACGAAAGCGUGGGUAGCAAACAGG
rnacentral:rRNA from 1 species